AGAGUUUGAUCCUGGCUCAGGAUGAACGCUAGCGACAGGCUUAACACAUGCAAGUCGAGGGGCAGCGGGGAGCGAAGCUUGCUUUGCUCCGCCGGCGACCGGCGCACGGGUGAGUAACACGUAUGCGACCUGCCCUUUACAGAGGGAUAAUCGGGAGAAAUUCCGUCUAAUACCUCAUAACACAUACCGACCGCAUGAUCGGUAUGUCAAAGGAGCGAUCCGGUAAAGGAUGGGCAUGCGGCGCAUUAGGUAGUUGGUGGUGUAACGGACCACCAAGCCGACGAUGCGUAGGGGUUCUGAGAGGAAGGUCCCCCACACUGGUACUGAGACACGGACCAGACUCCUACGGGAGGCAGCAGUGAGGAAUAUUGGUCAAUGGGCGAGAGCCUGAACCAGCCAAGUCGCGUGAGGGAAGACGGCCCUAAGGGUUGUAAACCUCUUUUGUCGGGGAGCAAGAAAGCGUACGUGUACGCUACUGAGAGUACCCGAAGAAAAAGCAUCGGCUAACUCCGUGCCAGCAGCCGCGGUAAUACGGAGGAUGCGAGCGUUAUCCGGAUUUAUUGGGUUUAAAGGGUGCGCAGGCGGAACGGAAAGUCAGCGGUAAAAUUGCGGGGCUCAACCCCGUCGAGCCGUUGAAACUGUCGUUCUAGAGUGGGCGAGAAGUAUGCGGAAUGCGUGGUGUAGCGGUGAAAUGCAUAGAUAUCACGCAGAACUCCGAUUGCGAAGGCAGCAUACCGGCGCCCGACUGACGCUCAUGCACGAAAGCGUGGGUAUCGAACAGGAUUAGAUACCCUGGUAGUCCACGCAGUAAACGAUGAAUACUAAUUGUUCGGGUCGAAUGAGGCCUGAGUGAUACAGCGAAAGCGUUAAGUAUUCCACCUGGGGAGUACGCCGGCAACGGUGAAACUCAAAGGAAUUGAC
rnacentral:rRNA from 1 species